AAGGUAGCAUAAUCAUUAGUCUUUUAAUUGAAGGCUGGUAUGAAUGGUUGGACGAAGUAUAAGCUGUUUCAUUUAAAUUUAUAAUAGAAUUUUAUAUUUUAGUCAAAAAGCUAAAAUGUUAUUAAAAGACGAGAAGACCCUAUAAAUCUUUAUAUUUAUUUUUACUUAAGUUUUUUAGUUUUUUUAUACUUUUGUUUUUAUAAAUAUUUUGUUGGGGUGAUGUUAAAAUUUAAUAAACUUUUAAUUUUAUUAAAACAUUAAUUUAUGAAUAAUUGAUCCAUUAAUAUUGAUUAUAAGAUUAAGUUACUUUAGGGAUAACAGCG
rnacentral:rRNA from 1 species